rnacentral:rRNA from 1 species
UGGGGAAUAUUGCACAAUGGGGGAAACCCUGAUGCAGCGACGCCGCGUGAACGAAGAAGGUAUUCGUAUCGUAAAGUUCUGUCCUAUGGGAAGAUAAUGACAGUACCAUAGAAGAAAGCUCCGGCUAAAUACGUGCCAGCAGCCGCGGUAAUACGUAUGGAGCGAGCGUUGUCCGGAAUUAUUGGGCGUAAAGGGUACGCAGGCGGUUUAAUAAGUCGAAUGUUAAAGAUCGGGGCUCAACCCCGUAAAGCAUUGGAAACUGAUUAACUUGAGUAGUGGAGAGGAAAGUGGAAUUCCUAGUGUAGUGGUGAAAUACGUAGAUAUUAGGAGGAAUACCAGUAGCGAAGGCGACUUUCUGGACACAAACUGACGCUGAGGUACGAAAGCGUGGGGAGCAAACAGG